rnacentral:rRNA from 1 species
GCUUGUCUCAAAGAUUAAGCCAUGCAUGUCUAAGUAUAAGCAAACUUGUACUGUGAAACUGCGAAUGGCUCAUUAAAUCAGUUAUCGUUUAUUUGAUGAUCUCUUACUACUUGGAUAACCGUAGUAAUUCUAGAGCUAAUACAUGCACAAAAUCCCGACUUACGAAGGGAUGUAUUUAUUAGAUACAAACCAACAUCGUGGUGAUUCAUAAUAACUUUCAGAUCGAUCGCAAGAUCGAUGCAUCAUUCAAGUUUCUGCCCUAUCAGCUUUGGAUGGUAGGGUAUUGGCCUACCAUGGCUUUAACGGGUAACGGAGAAUUAGGGUUCGAUUCCGGAGAGGGAGCCUGAGAAACGGCUACCACAUCCAAGG